rnacentral:rRNA from 1 species
UACGUAGGGUCCGAGCGUUGUCCGGAAUUAUUGGGCGUAAAGAGCUCGUAGGCGGUCUGUCGCGUCGGCUGUGAAAACACGGGGCUCAACUCCGUGCCUGCAGUCGAUACGGGCAGACUAGAGUUCGGUAGGGGAGACUGGAAUUCCUGGUGUAGCGGUGAAAUGCGCAGAUAUCAGGAGGAACACCGGUGGCGAAGGCGGGUCUCUGGGCCGAAACUGACGCUGAGGAGCGAAAGCGUGGGGAGCGAACAGGA